UAUUAGGUUGGUGCAAAAGUAAUUGCGGUUUUUGCAAUUAAAAGUAAUGUAAAAACCACAAUUACUUUUGCACCAACCUAAUA
rfam:Pan troglodytes isolate Yerkes chimp pedigree #C0471 (Clint) chromosome 4, whole genome shotgun sequence.